UCUCUGUCUAGAUUGUGAGGCGACCUCUCCUUCUCCGUGACAACGUCAGCGGACGGUGACCGGGCCACGAUAGUGGUGCGGACCUCGUCCCAAUAAAGAUCAAGUGGUUCAGAGCAUAAGCCUCUUCUGUUCCACACACAGCCUGUUCACUCGGUAAAAAUAUACAUCUAAUCAAUCUUCACUCAGUGAUCUCUUUUCUGGAUGUGCUCCCAACCCCGUCUUCAGCUGUGCCCAGUUGCCCUGAGACCAUAUCCUGCCUGGUUCAACUUCUCUAUAGAAUAGAAGAAUCUGGCUACACAAGGUGAGAGACUUUUAUAUACUUUCA